rnacentral:rRNA from 1 species
CCUGAUGCAGCGACGCCGCGUGAGGGAUGACGGCCUUCGGGUUGUAAACCUCUUUCAGCAGGGAAGAAGCGAAAGUGACGGUACCUGCAGAAGAAGCGCCGGCUAACUACGUGCCAGCAGCCGCGGUAAUACGUAGGGCGCAAGCGUUGUCCGGAAUUAUUGGGCGUAAAGAGCUCGUAGGCGGCUUGUCACGUCGGGUGUGAAAGCCCGGGGCUUAACCCCGGGUCUGCAUUCGAUACGGGCUAGCUAGAGUGUGGUAGGGGAGAUCGGAAUUCCUGGUGUAGCGGUGAAAUGCGCAGAUAUCAGGAGGAACACCGGUGGCGAAGGCGGAUCUCUGGGCCAUUACUGACGCUGAGGAGCGAAAGCGUGGGGAGCGAACAGGAUUAGAUACCCUGGUAGUCCACGCCGUAAACGGUGGGAACUAGGUGUUGGCGACAUUCCACGUCGUCGGUGCCGCAGCUAACGCAUUAAGUUCCCCGCCUGGGGAGUACGGCCGCAAGGCUAAAACUCAAAGGAAUUGACGGGGGCCCGCACAAGCAGCGGAGCAUGUGGCUUAAUUCGACGCAACGCGAAGAACCUUACCAAGGCUUGACAUACACCGGAAACGGCCAGAGAUGGUCGCCCCCUUGUGGUC